AUAAUUCAUUUAGCAGAGUUUGAAAUCAUAAAAAGAAAAGGCUUGACUGAAUUACAUGAGAGGGGUAAAGUUAAAGAGCAAAUUUUUCCGUGCCAUACAAGCAUCAACAAAACGGUACAGCAUGAAACUCCUCUCAAAUUACAUGGAGAUGGACAUGUCUAAAAGGGCCUUGCAAUUCCUUUAAUUUUCACACCUAGCAAUACUGAUUAAACCCUAAAAAGCUAUCGUCAUAACGAAAAAAAAAAGAAAAAAAAAGAAAGGAAGAAAUAGAGAAGAGGAAAGAGGUGGGAAUGUAACACCACUC
rnacentral:lncRNA from 1 species